rnacentral:rRNA from 1 species
GAUCCUGGCUCAGGACGAACGCUGGCGGCGUGCUUAACACAUGCAAGUUGAACGAAGAGCGAUGGAAGCUUGCUUCUAUCAAUCUUAGUGGCGAACGGGUGAGUAACGCGUAAUCAACCUGCCCUUCAGAGGGGGACAACAGUUGGAAACGACUGCUAAUACCGCAUACGAUCUAAUCUCGGCAUCGAGGAUGGAUGAAAGGUGGCCUCUAUGUAUAAGCUAUC